rnacentral:rRNA from 1 species
GACGAACGCUGGCGGCGUGCCUAAUACAUGCAAGUCGAACGCACUCUCGUUUAGAUUGAAGGAGCUUGCUCCUGAUUGAUAAACAUUUGAGUGAGUGGCGGACGGGUGAGUAACACGUGGGUAACCUGCCCUAAAGUGGGGGAUAACAUUUGGAAACAGAUGCUAAAUACCGCAUAAAACCUAAACACCGCAUGGUGUAGGGUUGAAAGAUGGUUUCGGCUAUCACUUUAGGAUGGACCCGCGGUGCAUUAGUUAGUUGGUGAGGUAAAGGCUCACCAAGACCGUGAUGCAUAGCCGACCUGAGAGGGUAAUCGGCCACACUGGGACUGAGACACGGCCCAGACUCCUACGGGAGGCAGCAGUAGGGAAUCUUCCACAAUGGACGAAAGUCUGAUGGAGCAACGCCGCGUGAGUGAAGAAGGUUUUCGGAUCGUAAAACUCUGUUGUUGGAGAAGAAUGUAUCUGAUAGUAACUGAUCAGGUAGUGACGGUAUCCAACCAGAAAGCC